GUCUAUGGCCAUGCCACCCUGAACAUGCCGGAUGUUGUCUGAUCUCGGAAGCUAAGCAGGGUCGGACCUGGUUAGUACUUGAUUGGGAGACCACCUAAGAAUACCAGGUGCUAUUGGCU
rfam:Pteropus alecto contig74825, whole genome shotgun sequence.